GUUGGUUAUCCAUGCAACAACCACUUCCUCAUUCUUUUCAAUGCUAACGGAACCAUGACUUUUGUUCAGAUACCCACACUGCUCUGUGAAAUAAAGUGUUUCGGCCAGAGCUUGCUCAAGCAUCAGAACUGGAAGUUGAAUGUUGAUUCUCUAAGUCAAUCAUUCUGAUUCUAUUCUCCAGAGUGUGGCUUAGGAAAUGGCAUAUGACCACACUCUGGUCAGUGAGACAUGAAGGGAAUUUUUAGGAGACUAGAGACUUCUAAUAAAAUGUUGUUAGCUCUUUAAAAAUGACCAUUUUGUAAGGCCAAGACAGGAGGCUCACUUGAGCACAAGCGCUUGAGACCAACCUGGGCAACAUAGUGAGACUCGGUCUCUACAAAAAAUAAAAAAAAAAAAUUGGCUGAGUGUGAUCCUACACCUGUACUCCCAGCUACAUACACCUGUACUCCCAGCUCUGGAGACUGAAGCAGGAGAAUCACCCGAGCCUGGGAGCUUGAGGCCACAGUGAGCCAUGUUUACACUACUGCACUACAGCCUGGAUAACAGGUCUGGCCACUCAAAUACCGCCUGACACAAGGGGAAGUGUGAUGGACAGAGAAGGCACGAGACGAGACAGUGGCCUGAACAAAUCACAGUCAAGGUCACUGAUGUGUGAUACGAAGUGUCUCCACACAGAAAUGGGCAUUUCCAGUCCCCUGCAAUAUUCUAAACUCAAGGCUGGGGUAAGAGGAGGCGUCUCUCUUCCAUCAUCGAGGGCAGCUGCAGAAGCAGGGUCUCAUUCUGUUGCUCAGGCUGGAGUGCAUUGCCGCAAUUGUGACUGCAGCCUCAAACUCCCAGACUCAAGUGAUCCUCCUGCUUCAGCCUCCUGAGUAGCUGGGACCACAAGCAUGCACCACCAUACCCGGCUAGGUGUUUAAUUUUUUGUAGAGAUGGUAUCUCACUAUGUUGCCCAGGCUCAUCUCGAGCUCCUAGGCUCAAAUGAUCCUCCUGCCAUGGGCCCCCAAAGUGCUGGGGUUACAGGCACGAGCCACUGUACACGGCUCAAAACUUCCAUUUUUAUAUUCUAUUAUGUACUAUAUAAUGCCUCCCAGAAAGCCACCCACAGCCCCACCCAGCAAUAAUUAUUACUACACAAUACAUAUUUUUGUAUUUA
rnacentral:lncRNA from 10 species